rnacentral:rRNA from 1 species
UGGGGAAUAUUGGACAAUGGGCGCAAGCCUGAUCCAGCCAUGCCGCGUGAGUGAUGAAGGCCUUAGGGUUGUAAAGCUCUUUUGUCCGGGAAGAUAAUGACUGUACCGGAAGAAUAAGCCCCGGCUAACUUCGUGCCAGCAGCCGCGGUAAUACGAAGGGGGCUAGCGUUGCUCGGAAUCACUGGGCGUAAAGGGCGCGUAGGCGGACUUUUAAGUCGGAGGUGAAAGCCCAGGGCUCAACCCUGGAAUUGCCUUCGAUACUGGGAGUCUUGAGUUCGGAAGAGGUUGGUGGAACUGCGAGUGUAGAGGUGAAAUUCGUGGAUAUUCGCAAGAACACCGGUGGCGAAGGCGGCCAACUGGUCCGAAACUGACGCUGAGGCGCGAAAGCGUGGGGAGCAAACAGG